UCCUAUAAAGUUAUAUACAACUUUCAGCAACGGAUCUCUUGGCUCUCGCAUCGAUGAAGAACGCAGCGAAAUGCGAUAAGUAAUGUGAAUUGCAGAAUUCAGUGAAUCAUCGAAUCUUUGAACGCACCUUGCGCUCCUUGGUAUUCCGAGGAGCAUGCCUGUUUGAGUGUCAUUAAAUUCUCAA
rnacentral:rRNA from 1 species